rnacentral:lncRNA from 1 species
AUGAAAAACAGGAGCAGACAAAACGGGGGCAAGAGACAAAGUAGCAAAAGAAAACAAGGCGAAGUAGCAACAAAAACUGGGCAAAGUACAAAUCAAAACCAAAGUUCAAAUCAAAAAAUGCAAAAUGCCAAACUCAAAUCCAGAACACAUACCGUGGGGAACAAGGAACUGACAGGAGCAGGCACAUGGACGGGAACAUUGACGAGACAGAGGCUGACAAUUACAAAGACCAGACAGGGAGUGAAGGGAAACACACAGACACUGAUGACAAGACGAGGAACAGGUGAGGUAACGAAGGGGAGGAGCACACGAGAACAUGAAGGGAACAAAGCAAUAGACAGAGGGAGCCAGAGGGAACAUAGGAAAAUACACAGGAGAAUUUAAAGGACACAUGAGGGCAUGGAAAAACAAGACACAAGACAAGAUACAAAGACAUAAAACCAGAGUCAUGACAGUUGUGGGGAAGCUCUGUAGAGAAUUCGCCGCCGCACUAUAUAUUUGGACCUUUGCUAUAUAUUUUGUUGAGUUGUGUACUUCCUUGUUUCCAGCAAUGUUCAAACCAGAGAAAUUAAUAAAUUACAAAUGUUUACUUAAGGUAACAAUGUUUCUAAUUUGGACACCUGUUGCUUCUUCUGUGAUAGUGGAGUUGGUGAACGAGUCCAAACUUAACAUGACUAAAAUGUUAAACCAUCACCUUGUCCUUGGACAUUAGUGCAUGACUCAGACUGAUUUUCAUCAGCAGUGGUGGUUGUUUAAUGGUGUUCACCAUCGGUUAGGCAUUACUUGACUGCUGGAACAUUUGUGUUUCUUUGUGUUACCCGUUUCACUGUUUAUUCUCCCCAAACAGCCAGAUUACCUUACAGUUUGAUAGCUGUAAAAUGAACAACCAUGAAAGUAAAGCCAUUUUUUUUAUCACCCAAAUUAAAAAGUAGCUGAGCUCUCCUUCUGAUUUGAUCGUGGGUCUUCAUCCCAGGCCCAGGAGGUCUGAACCUCAAAUACAGCACAUACCACAGUCAUGGGGGCAGCAUAGCUGAUGGACCCUUCAUUCAGUGUCAGAACCAGCAUUACAAGUUGUCAGGAACAGAACAACCACCAGGAGGCGCAAGAGUUCCACUGAAACUUCACCAAUGUGGAGAGCUUGACAAAUAGGUUGUUUUAUUUUCUUUCCUGUUGAUCGCACAGCGAUGACUCAAACUGAAUAUUUGCUGAGUUUUGUUUAGAUGUUGUAUUGAUUCAGCAGAAACUAACAACAGACAGGGUACAUGUUGCUUGCUCAAAGCAGUGGCUACAGAAUAAGCUUUUAGUUUUUUUUUUAGUUUUUUUUAACUUUUACAUAAGAUCUGCUGACUGAGUGAUGGUCCA